CCUACGGGUGGCAGCAGUGAGGAAUAUUGGUCAAUGGACGCAAGUCUGAACCAGCCAUGCCGCGUGCAGGAAGACGGCUCUAUGAGUUGUAAACUGCUUUUGUACGAGGGUAAACGCAGAUACGCGUAUCUGUCUGGAAGUAUCGUACGAAUAAAGAUCGGCUAACUCCGGUCCAGCAGCCGCGGUAAUACGGAGGAUUCAAGCGUUAUCCGGAUUUACUGGGUGUAAAGGGGCGCAGGCGGGGGGACAAGUCAGAUGGGAAAACCCGGGGCGCAACCCCCGUAGUGCAGUUGAAAAUGCUCUGCUUGAGUGUAGGAGAGGUAAGCGGAAUGCAUGGUGUAGCGGUGAAAUGCGUAGAUAUCAGGAAGAACACCGAUUGCGGAGGCAGCUUACCGGACGGCAACUGACGCUGAGGCACGAAAGCGUGGGGAGCAAACAGGAUUAGAUACCCCUGUAGUC
rnacentral:rRNA from 1 species